rnacentral:rRNA from 1 species
AGCGAACGCUGGCGGCAGGCUUAACACAUGCAAGUCGAGCGGGCACUUUCGGGUGUCAGCGGCGGACGGGUGAGUAACGCGUGGGAACGUGCCCUCUGGUUCGGAAUAACUCAGGGAAACUUGAGCUAAUACCGGAUACGCCCUUUUGGGGAAAGGCUUGCUGCCGGAGGAUCGGCCCGCGUCUGAUUAGCUAGUUGGUGAGGUAACGGCUCACCAAGGCGACGAUCAGUAGCUGGUCUGAGAGGAUGAUCAGCCACACUGGGACUGAGACACGGCCCAGACUCCUACGGGAGGCAGCAGUGGGGAAUAUUGGACAAUGGGCGCAAGCCUGAUCCAGCCAUGCCGCGUGAGUGACGAAGGCCUUAGGGUUGUAAAGCUCUUUUAUCCGGGACGAUAAUGACGGUACCGGAGGAAUAAGCCCCGGCUAACUUCGU